AGGAAUAUUGGUCAAUGGACGCAAGUCUGAACCAGCCAUGCCGCGUGCAGGAAGACGGCUCUAUGAGUUGUAAACUGCUUUUGUACUAGGGUAAACGCUCCUACGUGUAGGAGUCUGAAAGUAUAGUACGAAUAAGGAUCGGCUAACUCCGUGCCAGCAGCCGCGGUAAUACGGAGGAUCCAAGCGUUAUCCGGAUUUAUUGGGUUUAAAGGGAGCGUAGAUGGGUUGUUAAGUCAGUUGUGAAAGUUUGCGGCUCAACCGUAAAAUUGCAAUUGAUACUGGCAGUCUUGAGUACAGUUGAGGUAGGCGGAAUUCGUGGUGUAGCGGUGAAAUGCUUAGAUAUCACGAAGAACUCCGAUUGCGAAGGCAGCUUACUAACCUGUAACUGACAUUGAUGCUCGAAAGUGUGGGUAUCAAACAGGAUUAGAUACCCUGGUAGUCCACACGGUAAACGAUGAAUACUCGCUGUAGGCGAUAUACAGUCUGCGGCCAAGCGAAAGCAUUAAGUAUUCCACCUGGGGAGUACGCCGGCAACGGUGAAACUCAAAGGAAUUGACGGGGGCCUGCACAAGCGGAGGAACAUGUGGUUUAAUUCGAUGAUACGCGAGGAACCUUACCCGGGCUUAAAUUGCAACCGAAUAUGGCGGAAACGCCAUAGCUAGCAAUAGCGGUUGUGAAGGUGCUGCAUGAUUGUCGUCAGCUCGUGCCGUGAGGUGUCGGCUUAAGUGCCAUAACGAGCGCAACCCUUGCCGAUAGUUACUAACAGGUUAUGCUGAGGACUCUGUCGGGACUGCCAUCGUAAGAUGUGAGGAAGGUGGGGAUGACGUCAAAUCAGCACGGCCCUUACGUCCGGGGCUACACACGUACUACAAUGGCGUUAAACAAAGAGAAGCAAGACCGCGAGGUGGAGCAAAACUCAGAAACAACGUCCCAGUUCGGACUGCAGGCUGCAACUCGCCUGCACGAAGUCGGAAUUGCUAGUAAUCGUGGAUCAGCAUGCCACGGUGAAUACGUUCCCG
rnacentral:rRNA from 1 species